CUGAUUGACUCUUUUGCCCCCGCCGCUGAAGCGAAGCGAUUUCGAGUUCUCGAGUCUUUGCCGCCGCCGCCGAGGGCAAAGCGAGGUCUAGAGAUGGAUUUGGGGUCCUUCCACCUUGGCGGCAACGCCGAUGUCGUGGAGUUCUGCCCGCAUCGCCCUUUCCGCCACAUCCUGGCCGCGGCCACAUACACGCUGCAGGAGCAGGUUACUGAGGAGCAGCAGCAGGACCGCGCGGGAACCGUGUCCCUCUUCUCCGUCGAUGCCGGCGCGGAGGACGAGUCCCAGCGGCUCCGGCUGCUCCACACGGUGGAUACCGCAGGCGUAUUCGACAUGAAGUGGAGCCCCACGGCGCCGCUGCUCGCGCAGGCCGACGCCCACGGUCGCCUGGUGCUCCGACGCCUGGAGCAGGAGGACGGCUCGGACAAAGGUGUUGUUCUAACAGAUGUCUGUAGCGGAGACGUUUCUUCUUCAAUGUGCUUGUAUGUGGACUGGAACCAGAAUGCUGAUUCUCUGUCCGUUGGACUAUCAGAUGGUUCACUGUCUGUGAUUUCCAUGAGAGAGGACUGCUUGGAGGUAUCAGAACACUGGACUGCUCAUCAGUAUGAAGUUUGGACUUGUUAUUUUGAUCGUGCAAGGCCACACUUAUUGUAUAGUGGAUCAGAUGACUGCUCUUUCAGUUGCUGGGACUUGCGGGAAAGCCCAUCAAAUGCUGUGUUUCGGGAUAAAAAGUCUCAUAGUAUGGGUGUAUGUUGUAUUGCUCAGAACCCACUGGAUGGGAACAUGCUACUCACUGGAAGCUAUGAUGAAUUUCUCAGAGUUUGGGAUAUGAGAUCAAUGGUGAAACCUGUAAAUGAGAAGUCCCUAAAUUUAGGGGGAGGUGUAUGGAGGAUGAAAUAUCAUCCUAGUAUCGCGGAUGUUGUAUUGUCUGCAUGCAUGCACAAUGGGUUUGCCAUUGUUAAAGUAGGUGCUGGAGAUGCUACAGUUAUGGAAACAUAUUGCAAGCAUGAGUCCUUAGCAUAUGGUGCGGAUUGGCAGACAAGCGAAGCGCCAGAACAUAGUACAGCUUCUUCAGUUAUUGCUACUUGUUCAUUUUAUGAUCGCCUUCUCCGUGUGUGGCAACCGGAGGAAUUAGUCAAGCACCCAGGCUUUAAGUCCUAAACCAUUAUUGGGCUCAAUUCAAGUCUCACUAUGACAUGGACCGACAUAUUUCCUGAAUGAACCAAAUUGAUUUCAUUCAGAGCUCAGCUGCUGGAGUUAUGGCCUUCUUCGGUCUCAUUAUGAAUGGCUACCCAGGGGAUUCUAUGAUGUGAAGGGGUUCACCCCUAUACGGCUACACUACACCUAAUUUUAUGGAUUAGUCUGAUAUCAGCAACCUCAUGAGCAUAUAAGGCAACCCUUCCCCCUCCUCUUGUCCACAGCCUCUACCAACUAUGGAAGAUGCAUGGCUUGAGCAUCUACAUAGUUCUUGAGAGCAGAAGCAGGAUGAGGAUGGACCGCAAAGCUGAGCUCCUGCGCAAGAAGCGCUUCAGUUUUGUGGUGCCUUGCCUGAUCUCCCAGGUGGUCAUCUGAGGUACACACGAACCGGCAAGUCACAAAACGGCAGUGGUGAACUCCAGCAGGAGUCUACCCUUUUUUUUUCGCUUUCCUUCCAGUUGUAUCAGGUGGAUGCCAAAUAAUCUGAAGUCUCUGUCUCUGUGCGAUGUAUCCAUGAAUCCUUCACUGUUGAGUCGGUGUUUGUUUUAUGUGUAUUCUGGAGACACUCUGCUAUGAAUGGCAGAUGUUUAUGUAGCAAAAAUCAUGGUGUCCCAUUUCCUUGGCUAUUUUCUUACUGGUUACCGGUUAUAUAUUUUGCUUCCAAGCAAAUUUGUGUCUGUUGGGUGUGCAAAAAUAAGCACCUAUAAUUUGAACUCUUAUCUUGUUCUA